AUGGAACGCUGGCGGCGUGCCUAAUACAUGCAAGUAGAAAGCAGUUGCGAACGGGUGAAUAAAGAGUAGGUAACUGCCACAUAGCGGGGGAUCACUAUUCGAACCGAUAGCUCAUACCGCGUACUGUGAGAUGGACCUGCGUUGUAUUAGCUAGUUUGUGCGGUAAAGGCUCACCAAGGCGACGAUACAUAGCCGACCGGCGAGGGUGAUCGGCCACACUGGGACUGAGACACGGCCUAGACUCCUACGGGAGGCAGCAGUAGGGAAUCUUCGGCAAUGGACGGAAGUCUGACCGAGUAACGCAGCGUGAGUGAAGAAGGUUUUCGGAUCGUAAAACCCUGUUGUUAGAGAAGCGGUAUCUAACCAGAAAGCCACGGCUAACUACGUGCCAGCAGCCGCGGUAAUAC
rnacentral:rRNA from 1 species